rnacentral:rRNA from 6 species
UGGGGAAUAUUGGACAAUGGGGGCAACCCUGAUCCAGCCAUGCCGCGUGUGUGAAGAAGGCCUUUUGGUUGUAAAGCACUUUAAGCAGGGAGGAGAGGCUAAUGGUUAAUACCCAUUAGAUUAGACGUUACCUGCAGAAUAAGCACCGGCUAACUCUGUGCCAGCAGCCGCGGUAAUACAGAGGGUGCGAGCGUUAAUCGGAAUUACUGGGCGUAAAGCGAGUGUAGGUGGCUCAUUAAGUCACAUGUGAAAUCCCCGGGCUUAACCUGGGAACUGCAUGUGAUACUGGUGGUGCUAGAAUAUGUGAGAGGGAAGUAGAAUUCCAGGUGUAGCGGUGAAAUGCGUAGAGAUCUGGAGGAAUACCGAUGGCGAAGGCAGCUUCCUGGCAUAAUAUUGACACUGAGAUUCGAAAGCGUGGGUAGCAAACAGG